rnacentral:rRNA from 1 species
CCUACGGGGGGCAGCAGUGAGGAAUAUUGGUCAAUGGACGAGAGUCUGAACCAGCCAAGUAGCGUGAAGGAUGACUGCCCUAUGGGUUGUAAACUUCUUUUAUAUGGGAAUAAAAUGUUCCACGUGUGGGAUUUUGUAUGUACCAUAUGAAUAAGGAUCGGCUAAUUCCGUGCCAGCAGCCGCGGUAAUACGGAGGGUCCGAGCGUUAUCCGGAUUUAUUGGGUUUAAAGGGAGCGUAGGUGGAUUGUUAAGUCAGUUGUGAAAGUUUGCGGCUCAACCGUAAAAUUGCAGUUGAAACUGGCAGGCUUGAGUACAGUAGAGGUGGGCGGAAUUCGUGGUGUAGCGGUGAAAUGCUUAGAUAUCACGAAGAACUCCGAUUGCGAAGGCAGCUCACUGGACUGCAACUGACACUGAGGCUCGAAAGUGUGGGUAUCAAACAGGAUUAGAUACCCUGGUAGUC